rnacentral:lncRNA from 1 species
GCUUUUCUAUUCACUUGAUAAAUUAUUUGAUUAUAACCUGUUCAAAGAGGAAGUUUACAGAUAUAGUGUAAAUGAUAUUUGCAGCAUGGUGUUUUAAAAAUUGUUUCUGAAUAAUAUUAGAUUUCCACAAAUCUUAUUAUUGAUUCUGAUAAUAUAUAUGAAUUUAUAUGAUGCACAAACUUCGGUAUGAAAAACGGAAGGUCUUGAUAUGGGUAAGGGGAGAAUUAUGAUAUAUUUCACUCAUUUCUUUAUUCUUCAAUAUGUUAUACGUUUUCCUCUAUUCAUUCUGUUUUGCGUCCUUUUUUUCUGCCAACCCAAUGUAAGCUCUUUUGCAGACGUUUACACGACGGGUGCCACAUGUGGAGCAGGAUCUGCUUACCCUUCCGGAGCACCUGAGAUCACCCCUAGUUUUUUGGUGGGGUUUGUGUUGUAAUUAAUAGUCAUUUUGAAUAUGAAUAUGUGACGGGGUAACCUUUGUAUUUUCUUCUAAAGAAAUAUUA